GCGGUAAUUCCAGCUCUGUAAGCGUAUACCCAAGUUGUUGCAGUUAAAACGCUCGUAGUCGGAGUUUGGCGGGCGACCUGGGGCGUCUUUACGGACGGAUUCAGGUUGACCGCCUUUGUGGAGGGGGGCCCGGCGGGGCUUCAUUGCGUUCGCCGUUGGUCGCUGCCACCGUUUACUGUGAAAAAAUUAGAGUGUUCAAAGCGGGCGUUUGCCAUGAAUACCUUAGCAUGGAAUAAUAGAAUAGGACCUGUCUCCUGUUUUGUUGGUUUGUGAGGAACGGGUAAUGAUUAAGAGGGACGGUUGGGGGCAUUUGUAUUCCGGCGUCAGAGGUGAAAUUCUCGGAUU
rnacentral:rRNA from 1 species